AAGGGAAAACAUUAGAAGAUGUAUAGGAAGAAGAGCUGAUUCGACGAUGUUGCCUUCUUCUUCUCUUCAUCUUAACCGUUCGAUCUUCGCAUGCUUGAAUAAUGGGGGGCGCAAAGGGCUCGAUCAUAGCCUGCGAAAAGGGCACAAAAACUGUAGGGUAUUGAUAAUGGGAGGAACGGGAAGAGUUGGAGGAUCGACAGCCAGGACGCUAUCCAAGCUCUGCCCUGAUCUCCGAAUCCUCAUUGGUGGUAGAAACAGAGAGAAGGGUGCUGCUCUAGUGUCUACGCUUGGUGAAAAUUCGGAGUUUGUUGAAGUCAACAUUGAUAAUGUAAACACAUUGGAAGCAGCUUUAAAUGAUGUGGAUCUUGUAGUUCAUGCAGCGGGGCCUUUUCAGCGUGCAGAUAAGUGCACUGUACUGGAAGCUGCAAUUUCUACCAAGACAGCCUAUGUGGAUGUGUGUGAUGAUACAAUCUAUGCAUGCCGUGCAAAAUCUUUUCAUGAGAAGGCGGUAGCUGCUGAUGUUCCGGCUAUAACAACUGGUGGAAUUUACCCUGGAGUCAGCAAUGUGAUGGCAGCUGAGUUGGUUCGCUCUGCAAAAAAUGAAAGCAUGGGUGAGCCAGAGAGGUUAAGAUUCUUUUAUUAUACAGCAGGUUCUGGUGGUGUUGGUCCAACUAUAUUAGCGACUAGUUUCCUGCUGCUUGGAGAAGAUGUUAUUGCUUACAAUAAAGGAGAAAAAAUCAAACUAAAGCCUUACAGUGGAAUGCUCAACAUUGAUUUUGGAAAAGGGAUUGGAAAGAGAGAUGUUUAUUUGUUAAACCUACCUGAAGUAAAAAGUGCUCAUGAAGUCUUAGGCGUGCCAACUGUCAGUGCUAGAUUUGGUACUGCACCUUUCUUCUGGAAUUGGGGCAUGGAAGCUAUUGCAAAUCUUGUUCCUGUGGAAUUUCUAAGAGACAAAAGCAAAGUCCAGCAGUUGGUUCAAAUCUUUGACCCUCUUGUUCGAGCUGUUGAUGGGAUUGCAGGAGAGCGCGUGUCAAUGAGAGUUGAUUUAGAGUGUUCAAAUGGACGCAGUACUACGGGUAUAUUCAGUCACAAAAGACUCUCUUUAUCAGUUGGAUCUGCAACGGCAGCAUUCGCAUUGGCAGUUCUUGAGGGAAGCACAGAGCCUGGUGUUUGGUACCCAGAAGAGAAGGAAUUGCAAUCGAGGCAAGACAAUUACUUCUCGAACGUGCAGCACAAGGAACAAUCAAUUUUGUCAUGAACAAGCCUCCAUGGAUGGUGGAGACGGAUCCAAAAGAGAUUGGAUUGGGAAUAUACGUAUGAGGGCGGGCCACGAUCAGCUAGAGCCACCCAGGCACAGAUGAGGUUCUGCUUUUGCUUCUCCAUUUCCACACUCAACUGGCACAGUGCUAAUUUUUUGUCGAGAGGAGAAUUUACUCGACCCUUCACCAGUGGAGAGGACAUGCACUCACGGCCUAAUGUCCCCACCUUCAUGAGUUUUGAAAGCUCUGCAGCAGUUGAGUGGGCAACCGAUGUACAUUCUAACAACCUCUCAUAUGAUUCUUUGCUCCCCCAAGGUACCUUUUCUAUUCAGGGUUGAUAUCAAGAGAUGGAUUAAUGGAAUUUCAAAUACAUUGCUGACAGUUGUACACCAUGUUCUCAGUACACUUCCACCAUCUAGGAUACAAGCAAGAAAUCAUCAUGCUUACUUCUUCA